rnacentral:rRNA from 1 species
UCGCAAUACUGUUUCCGAUGAGUAAGCGGCGGACGGGUGAGUAAUACAUGGGAAUCUGCCUGGUAGUGGGGGACAACGUUUCGAAAGGAACGCUAAUACCGCAUACGCCCUACGGGGGAAAGGGGGGGAUCUUCGGACCUCUCGCUAUCAGAUGAGCCCAUGUCGGAUUAGCUAGUUGGUGGGGUAAAGGCUCACCCAGGCGACGAUCCGUAACUGGUCUGAGAGGAUGAUCAGUCACACUGGAACUGAGACACGGUCCAAACUCCUACGGGAGGCAGCAGUGGGGAAUAUUGGACAAUGGGCGCAAGCCUGAUCCAGCCAUGCCGCGUGUGUGAAGAAGGCCUUAGGGUUGUAAAGCACUUUCGGUGGGGAGAAAGGUCAUUCACCUAAUACGUGAGUGAAUUGAUGUUACCCACAGAAGAAACACCGGCUAACUCCGUGCCAGCAGCCACGGUAAUAG